AGCGAACGUUUGCGGCGGGCUUAACACAUGCAAGUCGAACGAGAAUCCCUUCGGGGAGGAAAGUGGCGCACGGGUGCGUAACACGUGGAUAACCAACCCAUUGGUUUGGGACAACACCGGGAAACUGGUGCUAAUACCAGAUGUGUCGCAGCUGUCUUCAGGCGGUUGCGAGAAAGGCCCGCAAGGGUCGCCAACGGACGGGUCCGCGUCCCAUCAGCUAGUUGGUGAGGUAAUGGCUCACCAAGGCAAAGACGGGUAGCUGGUCUGAGAGGAUGAUCAGCCACACUGGAACUGAGACACGGUCCAGACUCCUACGGGAGGCAGCAGUGGGGAAUAUUGCGCAAUGGGCGAAAGCCUGACGCAGCCACGCCGCGUGAGCGAUGAAGGUCUUCGGAUCGUAAAGCUCUGUGGGGGAGAAGAAGAAAGCCGGUGAAGAGCCGGCCCUGACGGUAUCCCCUUAGCAAGCACCGGCUAACUCCGUGCCAGCAGCCG
rnacentral:rRNA from 1 species